rnacentral:lncRNA from 1 species
CUGCACAAGCUCUCUUUCCUGCCACCAUGUAAGAUGUGACUUUGCUCCCCAUUCACCUUCAGCCAUGAUUGUGAGACCUCCCCAGCCAUGUGGAACUGCUCAUAGGCAGAAGGGACCUGCCUUGUCUCAGAUUAGACUUGGGAUGGUGGACUUUUGAGUUGAUGCUGAAAUGAGUUAAGAUUUUGGUGGACUGUUGGGAAGGCAUGAUUGCUUUUGAAAUGUGAGGGCAUAGAUUUGGAGGGGCCAGGGACGGAAUAAUAUGGUUUGGCUUUUGGCUUUGUGUCCCCACCCAAAUCUCACCUUGAAUUGUGUUCAUCCCCAUGAGUCAUGGAAGGGACUCAGUGGGAGGUAAUUGAAUUAUGGGGGUGGGUUGUAAUUGUCUUAAAUCAUAUUUUUUCAGUCUCUAUGUUGUUAUUUUUACAAAAUUUGUUUCGAGAAAAGUGAUUUGACAUUGGAAAAAAAUUCUUUUUAUCUGACCUUGUAUCACCUGUUUCUAGUGUCUCCUUCAUAUGCUGGCAGAGAAAAGAUCAGCAGUAAAAACAACAGAUGUUAGGAUCCAUUUACUUGAUAAUGAUUUCUCAGUAAUUCUGUGGGCUUGAUUGGGGCUAUUAGUCAAGAGCUUCCAGAUAGUUUUAGAUUUAAAAAAUUAAAGGUCUAGUUCAUUCAAUGCCAAUUUUACAUUUUUAAUUUACAUCUAUGAAGGAAUAGUAGGUUCUUUUGUCUUUUUAAAAUUACAAGCUGGAUAUCACCUAGGUAGCACAUCAGACACAGGAUUCCUACCAUUCCAAUAAUGGGCUGUCACUCUAACCUUUGAGUUUGAAAGGGCAAAAACAAGUUCUGGUAUAUUCCUUUUUAAGCCAUUCUUCUUUUAUCCUUCACAUUUGGCUUGCUUGAGAAAGAUCGUAUUCCUUAGAUUUUUUGCUUGAAAUAUCAAGGAAUACAAUAACUAGGCAUUGAAAGAAACAUCCAUAACAAUUCAAAUAUAUGAUUGCACCACAGAAUCUAGCUUUACUAGUGUUUUAAAAAUACACACAAAAUUUUUUUCUUAAAGAAAAAAUUCUGUAUUUUCCUGAAAUAUUUUAAAAAAUAUAUUAAAAUGAAACACAACCAAACAAGAGGUUCAUUUGUUCUGUGCUCCAAGAACUACCCAAUACUAACUGUCAUCCUUGUCACAACUGAAUUUGUAAUUAAUUUGAGGUAACAAAGGAGUGCAGAAAGUCUGAUAAAAGUAUAGUAAAUAAUUUGCAAGUGAAAAAUCAAUACUUGAAAGAAAAAAGUCUUUAUGCUUAUGCCAUUAAAAGAAACACUGUAAACACAGUCAGAUUCAGUUACAAAAAUAUCCAUUAAUAAAAUGACCAGCUAUAAAAAUGAAUAUAUUUAAUUUUAAAAGAACAAUGGAUAAAAUAUCUUUCAAAUUAAGAAAGUGGCAUAGUUAAUAUAAUGUAUUUAUAGAAUUGUGCAAUAAAAUAUGUUGAACAAUUCCAUUGGUACCAAGAAAUUUGGGACAGAGAUUUCAUAAAAUGUGUAUAGAUUUAAGAUUUUGUAACAAACAGUUAAAUGCAUAUUUUAUUCAAUAGGUAAUAAAACAAUAUGUCAACUGAUUUACAAUAAAGUUUUAAUUUUUUUCAAUCAUUUAUGCACCAAAUAACGAUAUGGGGUAUUAGGAGAAGAGAUCAUUGUAUUCAAAUUGAGUUUUGCAAAGCAAAAUUAAACUCUAAAAUCAGUUGAUAAUUGCUUUGUCUGGAUUUUGUGGACUUAUUUGAGUAAUGAUUUCCCCACGUUUUUCUGAUUUUCCCCCUUUCUAACAUUACUUCAUUGUAUAGUUUUUAAAAUAAACUACAAUGUUUGAUAGUUUUUCUUUAAACAAAGGCAGUAUGU